UACAGAGGUCCCAAGCGUUGUUCGGAUUCAUUGGGCGUAAAGGGUGCGUAGGCGGCGCGGUAAGUCGGGUGUGAAAUCUCGGAGCUUAACUCCGAAACUGCAUUCGAUACUGCCGUGCUUGAGGACUGGAGAGGAGACUGGAAUUUACGGUGUAGCGGUGAAAUGCGUAGAUAUCGUAAAGAAGACCAGUGGCGAAGGCGGGUCUCUGGACAGUUCCUGACGCUGAGGCACGAAAGCCAGGGGAGCAAACGGG
rnacentral:rRNA from 1 species